AGUGAACGCUGGCGGCGUGCCUAAUACAUGCAAGUCGAACGCAGUGGCGCACGGGUGAGUAAUAUAUAGUUAAUCUGCCCUACACCGAGGAACAACAGUUGGAAACGACUUCUAAUACCUCAUAGUGUAGGAUGAGACUAUAUCGUAUCAGCUAGUUGGUAAGGUAAUGGCUUACCAAGGCGAUGACGCGUAACUGGUCUGAGAGGAUGAUCAGUAACAUUGUAACUGAGACACCGUCCAGACUCCUACGGGAGUGAGCAGUAAGGAAUAUUGCGCAAUGGGGGAAACCCUGAAGCAGCAACGCAGCGUGGAGCACGACACUUUGCGGAGCGUAAACUCCUUUUAUCAGGAAAGCGGUACCUGAUGAAUAAGCACCGGCUAACUCCGUGCCAGCAGCCGCGGUAAUAC
rnacentral:rRNA from 1 species